rnacentral:lncRNA from 1 species
GUUUAAACUAAACACAGCUAUCCCUGCUUUCUGCCAUUGUCUUCUGUCUUGCUCCCAAGGCAGUUUGAGUUUAUUGGAACCUAGUCCAUCACACAAAUAAAGACAGCCCUCAUAUGUUAAAGAGGUGUCGAGUAACUACUUGCUGCUUCUAACCACCUACUGGAGAAGAAAUGGAGUCUGCUGGGCCUCCUUCCCCCUGGAAUAAAACGGGGUGGAUGUGGAUAUAUAAAAAUACAUGCACAUGGGCCUUCUGCAUCCUGCUUUGUCGGCACUUGGCACGCUAAUACCCUCCUGUCUAUCUCAGUGUCCUGCAGUCAAGACCAAGAGAAGGUGUGAAAUAAAUACAGGGCUGAGAAGUUUUUCGCUUGUGCUUGCAGUGGUGUAGAAGCCGUUACUGGUCCAACAGCAGAGCCUAGAUGAGAAUUUCCUUGUGUUGGUUCACUAUGUUAUUACAACUUCCUUUCAUAAAAAUGGGCUGCAGAAAAUAGAUGAAGGGUAUUUAUCCUGUCUAAGACUGAUGCUUGUGUUAUAGAGAGAAACUGCAGAGCAAUAGCUUGGCGAAGAAUCUCUUUUGACUUAGAGAUAUCAAAAUACGUUCUGUAUCGUUCUUUUCAGGGCUACUUCAGGCUUCAGAAGAAUUGCCACUUUUGCAGUCAAAUCCAAGUAACAUCUGCUCUAUGCAACCAGUCAAUAUUGUGGAAAAGUUCAAAGAAUGAAGAUCAUUAGUAGUGUCAGCUUUACAACCAGAAGGGAAAAUUAUGGAAUUUUCUGCUUGAAAAAAAACAAAGUGAAUGGUCCAGUUAACAAAUUCUCACAGAGAGGAGGGAAAAAAAGCAAGCCAGAAGAAUUUGGCAAGUUUGGCUUUUGCUUGCAAGUAUUUGUAGCGCUCUGGUGGUGAUACCAGAUGAGUUUUGCAGCUGUAAGAAGUAUUUGCUCUUUCUGGGUUCAGUUUUGUGAGUUCCCGAGUGUUGUCUCUCAUGGACCAGGCUGUUUCAGGUUACGUUAUCUCAGAGAUAACCCACAUGUUGGAGUGCUUUCCUAAAUGGGGAUUGAAAUAAGCGCCGCUGAAGCCUGU